CGCUGAUCAGAAGGUAUGAGUCAUCUCAGUUGAUUGUUCACAGUCAGCUAUAGCUCAAACUCCCUGUUGUACUCUGUCCCUCAUUCUCACUGCUGUAUUUGACUAGUCUUUU
rnacentral:Y_RNA from 1 species